rnacentral:misc_RNA from 1 species
GCAGUUGCUAACUUAAAUGGUCACAGAAUUUUACGUUGUUGUUAUCAUUGAUGAUAAUUGUGAUAGAUACACACGUUAAAUAUUCAGUUCUAUUUUGGUUACCAAAUCAAUAACAACUGGCUGGUAACAAAAAAAGCCGACAGUCUUUCCCUUCCUCAUGUUCGAGAAGUGGAAUGGCCUAUCGUCGGCACAACUUCCAAAGCCACAGAGAUCACCGGGACAGUAGGUCAUAUGACAGCAGUGGCAGUGAGGAUACAGACUUCUCGGAAACCGAGGACCGGAGGAAGGCUUGCAUAAAACGGACAAGCAAUCUAAGCGGACCGACGAGAUCAAAGCCUUGCCUAGUGAACCGUGUGCGAAGUCUGAGUCUCGAGAACACAAGCAGUAACGAGGAGGGUGCGGCAUCGGACGGGAAGGUAUCGUCAGCCAGCUAUGCCCUGCGUCACUACCCGCACUCUGUCGAUCUAGCGCUGGCACAGAAUCAGCGCACUUUGUCGUCACAGCUCUCUGACGAGGCCAAUAGCGACCACUGUCAUAGUUCAGCAGCAACACCGUCUUUGGAGUACAACAUGGCAAUGAGUAUGGAAGCCAAAAUAUCCAAUGCUCCCACCAUGGCCACAAAGAGUGGAGAGAGACUCACUUUAGUAGUGGAUGGAACCCGUUUUGUAGUAGACCCUGAACUCUUUAAACCUCGACCUGAAACGAUGCUUGGCAGAAUGUUCACAUCAUCUUUAGAUCAUAAUAUCACUCGACCCAAUGAACGCGGGGAGUAUGAAGUGGCUGAAGGGAUCUCAGCUACAGUGUUUAGAUCUAUUUUGGAGUAUUACAAGACUGGUAUUGUGCGGUGUCCUCCUUGUGUGUCUGUCCGCGAUCUACGAGAAGCUUGCGACUACCUCCUUAUUCCAUUUGAUGCAAAAACAGUCAAGUGCCAGAACUUACGAGGCCUUUUACAUGAACUUUCCAAUGAGGGAGCACGACAACAGUUUCUAGCUUUCCUCGAGGACCUCCUUUUACCCCAGAUGGUUCUUUGUGCAGAGCAUGGUGAGCGUGAAUGUCACAUUGUUGUGUUGAUUGAUGACGACAUCGUAGAGUGGGAUGAUGAAUACCCUCCACAGAUGGGAGAAGAACAUUCACAAAUUAUUUACAGUACGCCUGUGUAUAGGUUCUUUAGAUACAUAGAGAACAGGGAUGUAGCCAAGCAGGUUUUAAAAGAAAGGGGUCUUAAGAAAAUACGGCUUGGAAUUGAAGGAUACCCUACAAAUAUGGAGAAAGUGAAGAAACGGCCUGGUGGACGGCAGGAAGUUAUAUACAAUUACGUUCAGAGACCGUUUAUCCGAAUGUCGUGGGAGAAGGAAGAAGCUAAGAGUCGCCAUGUUGACUUCCAGUGUGUGAAAUCCAAGUCAAUCACCAACCUGGCGGCGGCCGCCAAUGAUGCACACGACCAGAGUAUUGUCCAGCAGGAUCAGGACGGGACUAUAAACAUCGUUCCCCCCCAGCCUUCACCGUCGGAGCCUUACCCUGACGUCGAACUUCCCCCUGAAGGGGAUGCUGACUGAUGCUGCCGCAGACUCUGUUGUAUGUUGUGAGUGAGGGGGGAGCUGUUUCUUGAGGCUGUGUUGGAGUGAUACUUGUGUUCAGAAUCAGGCUGGACAUUCCUGUGGUUCUACUGGAUAGUCUUGAUAAUAUCAGGAGUGGAUGAUGUGCUUUGUGGAGUAAAGUGAGCAUCAUCUACAGGGCUGUGCAUUAACUCUCAACAUCUGCUUGUUUGAUCUGAAAUGUGCUCUCCUGACCCAAAUAUGUCUGUUGAAAGUAUCAAACAAAAAUGAUGUGGUAUGUGCUGUCCUGUCUGUUGGAAAGUGCACAUAAUAGAUCCCAUGCUGCUAAUGGAAAAAUGUAGCGGGUUUGUCACAGUAUGUCACAAUUAUCAAGUGUUUGACAGCCAACAGCCAAUACAUGUAAUUAUGUAAUUAAUACAUCAGUGUUCUCUAGUGGUCUUGUUAAUCAAAACAAGAACUUUUAACUUCUUGAAUCAAGCAAUAUACAAGUUGUUUUUCAAUAGACUUGACCAUUGGCAUAGCUUAUUGCACUUUUGUUUCCUUCUUUUUUCUUUGGGAGGGGGUAACAAUGGCAGAUCAACAAGCCUAUGCUUGUACUUCAUGCUAAGGGUAUACUAAUGGUGUAUGUUCUUUUUGAUUGGUUGGAAUUAAUUUGAUUAGUCUUGUAAUUUGAUUCUUAUAUGGUUGUGUGUUGCAUACUUGAUACAGUAUUAGUGUAGAACACUUAAACCAACCACUAAGUAGUUAUGUCCCUUGAUCUAUUUGUUGUGCUGUUUGGGGGAAUGUGAGCAUCUUUGCUUAGGACUUUAGUCCCAACGUGGUCUUCAUUAGGAAUUUUUUUUUUUUUAUAUAUAUAACAAAGUUUGGUGAGAGUUUUACUUUUAGCUGGAACAUGUUUUCUCUUAAUCAGCAUUUGGGUUUUGAAGUCCAUUUUAUGUGUGCUUGUAUACAUGUACGGUACAUGUAUAUUGCUGAUAAUUGCUCUAAUAUUUACAGAAAUUAAACUUAUUGAUAAUUUGUGAUGCAUCCAUGAAAAUAUCCCACAAACAACUCAGAUAUGGAAAUCAAAUAGUGCUCUAGUUUUUAGAUCAUGAAAUAAUUUUGAAUUUUUUUUAUUAGAAACUUAGCAUAUUUCUUGUUUUCUUUCAAAUAUGAAUAUUUUAUUGCUUGAAGCCUGCAGUCAUAAUACUCCAGUCGUGUGUAGACUAGGCUUGUAAGUGAAUACUCAGGAAAUGAUUUGAAAUUGGUUAAAUUAUUUGCAUAUGCAGGGGUGCAGAAAAAAUAAAUAUGUCACUAGUCAACUGGACUGGUACCAACCACAAUUUACUAGUCUGUCAGAAUAUUCAUACUAGUCCAUCAGUCUACACGAGAAUAUAAUAUUGAUAUAAUUCAGCAAUAACUUCAAUAACCAUCCAGUGACUUCUUUAUUUCCUCCUCAACACAUACUGCUGUUUUAAAAUAUAUUUUAUGUUAAAUGUUAUAGCUUAGUUACAAGUUGCACAACAAAUACUGCAUUAAGGAAUUAAAAACAAUAUACAUAUGUGUUAUUUAUUUAUUUUAUUUAUUAAUUGACACUCAACAUAUUUUAAUUACGGUUAUAUGGCAUCAGACAGAUGUUUAAGUGGUGGCAGUUCGUUUCCUCUUCCAUUCUGUGUAUAUAGUCACUAUAUACAGAGAAUGGAAGAGGAAACGAGCUGCCACCACUCAAUGGGGUACUCUUUCCGAUUAGCAUCAAGAGAUAUUUUAUAUACAGCAUCCCACAGACAGGACUACAUACCAUGGCUUUUGUUACACCAUGGGCUACGUUUCGUCUCGCAGUAUAUUUCAUGAACAUACAGAUUCAUUCAAUGUAUAUUCGACAAACAGUUGAAUGGGGACAUAUGGGAGUCUUUACAAAAAAGGAGGUUGCCAGUCAGAUUGGGGUUUAUAUUUUUUAUUUGCAUUUGGCAAAUGGACUAGUAGUUUCUGUACCCCUAAUAUGUGCCCAUUUGUGUAUACUAUUCUCUGCUCAAACUAUUAUAUUUGUUAUUCAUUUGAUUUUACCUGAUGUAUGUACAUGUAAUUACAAGUGUUCCACUAUUAUACAAUUUAUUCUAUUCUGAUUGGACAAUGUCGCUAAAAAGACAGCUUGUUAUCCUUUGAUAAAUGAUGUCAAAUGGCACGUCAUCCGAUUUAUAUGGGUCUUUUUAAACUAAAUAAGUUGUGUUUGUAAUUAUAAGAAUGGUUUGUCCUUUUUUGUGAAUUUAUUGUCGAAUAAGUCACAAAUUUUGGUAUUAAAUUUGUGACUUAUACCUUGGUAAAUUCAAGCAAAACAUUAUGUCUUACUAUAUCACCUGUAGUUAAAUUGUAACGAAUUGGUUUUUAAGAUAUCCAAUGCUUCACAUGUUUUUCUUUUAAUAUGCAUCUGUAAACCAUGUAAAAAAUAUAUAUAUAUUGUCUUUGAUAUACAGUUGGACUAUUAACACAAAAAUGUUAAAUGGCUGAUAUGUAACUUCUUGUAUGUUCAUUAUUUAUUAUAUUUUUGUUCUGAUAUUAAAUAUGAAUUAAUUUUCAUAUAGCUUUGUGAAAACAGAAUUAGGGGAUUUUCAACAGCUGGGGGGAGGGGUGGGCAAAAACGUUUUAAUGAUGCCUCACUCAAUACAUUGUUUAACCUGUAGCUGUUUGGUGACUAACACUUGACAAUUAUAACUAGUGAUGGGAAUUGGUUAGAAUUUAAUCAUCAAUCAUCAGUUAUAAUUGGUUUGCACUAACCGGUCUACUUUCAGUUAUACAAUCGGUCAGAAUUACAAGAAGAUAAGGACCAUGCACCCUAUUGUGUUUAUCAGGAUAAACCCCACAAAUUGAUAAUUUUACCUUUAAUAACUAUUUAAUUUUUUUUUUUAAUUAACACAAGAAAACAAAUACCAACCCUGAUAUAUUUACACCAAUUCCAUCAUUUAAAAUGGAGGAACAUUACAGUUAAGAUUUUCCCACUCAAUUGAUUAUGGAAUUUUAUAAUUGAUCACCAUCAGUUCGAUCUAUUUUCGAUUAUAAUCAAUCAAUGGAACAGCAUCACUAAUUAUAACUGAUGUUGUUGUGUUUAACUGGCUGCUGUUUUAAGUUCUAAAACUUGGUAAUUAUAACUGGUGUAGUGUUGGAGAAGAAGCUUACCUCUGUCACAUAGGCUAUUGUUCAUCCUCCAACCCAUUGCACCUCUGGUGUUCUAACCACAGAGCUACAUGUACAUCUGACUCUAAAUAGAUGUGUGUGUCCUUUCAUUGUGAUGAAGGACUGUUUGUAAUAAUUGGCAUCUCAUAAAAUCAGCACCAUCAGGGUUUUCCUGUCAUUAAUUGUUGAUACAUAUGUAUACUUAUGCAGUUUACAUUUGAAGAAUUAACCAUACAAUAGCAGAAUUUUAAUUUUAAUAUUUUUUUUUUUUCAGUUAAUUAAUUUUAUGUAUUAAUUAUUUUUAAAAUGACAUAUAGAGGUGAAGCACUUCUUGUUGAGUUGUGGUUACUGUACCAAUAUUCACAAAUUUCUUAUGUAUUAAGUUAUGUAUUAAUGCAUCAAUGUGAAAAACAAGCCUGGAUGAUGGCCCUUUAGCAGAAUCUUGCACAGUAUGUUACAGUCACAGAAAACAAAGCAACAACAGAAAUCUCUCUAAACAUAUAGAAAUCUUCCUGUAGUAGGUAGUCGUCAUUAAAUAUUGAUGUAAAUGAAAGCCUUGUAUCAGUGUUUGGUUCUGUAUGUUGGUGGUGUGACUGUAUGGUUCAAAACUGGUUCAAAAGAAAUAGUUAAAUGUUAAUGUUAGCAACAUGUGAGACUAGUAAAGUGUGUGAGAAAUCAUGUGAACAGAAUCCAAGAAACAGUGUUGCCUUUAAACAUGUUUACAGUGUUUGUAUAUUUCAAAUUCCACAACAUGGUGCUACAUAAUGAAGUCGAUGCAAAUUUAUCUAAUGCUAGUAGAUACAAGAAGAGGUCCAAGUCGCACACACCUGCUGUCAUACAAUCAAGAACAAAUAUGUUGAAUGCAUAUGUGAUGGUUAGGACCAUAAACCCUUCUUCUUUUAAAGUAAUACAGCUUCGGAUGUGUAGGCCCAGUUCCAUUUCUAGAAUGGCUAGGAUGUUUGUCUCAAUAUAUAAACAACAUCAACCAAUAGCCUGUUUGUUGUUACCAGUUACAUAUAGGUGGUGUUGUUGUUUUCUUCUAAUAUUGGCUAGUAUACCCCCUCCCUUCAAAACACAUAACAGCCAUGCAUGGUGAGUCACCAGCUUGUAAACACCAUUGUGAAGCAAGGAAUAAAGCCACAAUUAUUUAUGGUAUCGGUGAACCAUGGUUUGUUGUCAGGGUCACAUUUAUCGACGUUUUACUCGCCAUGCAUCUUCAUAAAUCAAGGCUAAUAUUCGUUCCUCGUAUUCAGCCUUGAUGCAUGUAGUCAAGAAAUCUUGCCACAAAAUGCUUAAAUUUCAUUAGAUGCGAUGAAAUCUGAUUGCAACGAAUCGCAACGCUCCUUAUAGAUUCCCUUGUUAUUGUAAACAAAGAUGGCAGCAUCAGCGUCCGUGGAAACGUGUCG